rnacentral:rRNA from 1 species
UACGAAGGUGGCAAGCGUUGUUCGGAUUUACUGGGCGUACAGGGAGCGUAGGCGGUUGGAUAAGCCCUCCGUGAAAUCUCCAGGCUUAACCUGGAAAGUGCAGAGGGGACUGUUCAGCUAGAGGAUGGGAGAGGAGCGCGGAGUUCCCGGUGUAGCGGUGGAAUGCGUAGAGAUCGGGAAGAACAUCAGUGGCGAAGGCGGUCUGCUGGGCCGUUGCUGACGCUGAGGCGCGACAGCGUGGGGAGCAAACAGG